UUUGACAUAAGGGGUAUAAUAUCACUCUCUGAUACCAUCUGACUGGGACCAACGGGCAGACCUGUCCCUCAUCAUAAAGGGAGCUCAGCAACAAGACGGAGGAGUUUAUUACUGUGAUGUAGAGAAGGCCGAGAAACACCGCUCUGCUGUGCGCCUGCGAGUGCGCAAACCACCGGAGUCCUACCACUGGAUAUGGAUCACAAUCAUCAUAACAGCAGCUGUGACAUCUGUGAUUGUUUUUACUCUCAGGUUCUUUUGGGGCUGGAGAGAGAAGACCAAGGGUGUACAUGCAUGAAGAGAGCAGAGGAGACAGUGCCCGAAACAGUCCACUAAAUGACCAAUCAUUUAUAAUCAGGAGGAAAGCACAUCUCUAAAAAUUGCCCUGCCAAGUCUUCUGAUGUUAUACUGCCUGUAAAAAUAAAUAGAAAUAGCUUUUGUAGUGCAUUACUUUUAGUUCCAAAGUCCAAACCCAAACCUUUAUUUCACUGUGUAAUGAAAGUCUUCAUGGCAAAAUAAACAGCAGAUAUCUGCACACUGCUAACUUACAGUAUAAAGAUAAAAGAAUACACACAUACAGAGAUUUCUUUCUGACUUUUGACUUAUUGAUUUAUUUGUGUCUUCUUCUUGGCAGCUCUUCACUUGGUACAGUUGAAGGUCUGUCCUGAGAAAAAGGUAUAGCUUGGUUAUAACAACAGCUAAUAAUCAAUUUUUAUGAUUUCUUCAUUGAUCUGUAAGAGGCUGGAGCUUAUGGUUAAUGAAUGCAACAGUCUGGGUCGAGUAGUUGAAUUUAUUAUCUUUGUGUUGAGGACAAAAGAGUCUUCAGGCCUCCAAGUUACACAUACAUUCUGUCUUUUGCAUCAAGUUCACUUUUAAUAAUUCCACCACGCAGUAAAUCUGUGUGAUUUUGAUGUGUGGCUAACUCAGCUUCUUUUAGAAAUAGUGACUCAGUGGAGUCUGACACUCAGACAAUCAGCCAAUAGAGUUUCUGGUGAAGCUGGAGCCAAAUAACUGCUUUGAAACUGAUUCUUAGAGUCCAGAGUGAACCGUCAGUGUCCUUAAACAAUUUGUUUAUUGCCCACAUGAUAUUUCCUGCAUGUUUGUAGAGUUUGAACAAUAAAUAUAUUCAUUUACAGUGAGCACUUGUCCUGCUCUGUUUUUUAGUCUUUACUCUGUUUACUUUGUUCUUUAUAAAAACUUCAAGAAGCUUCUUGUAAAAUAAAACAUCUUCAAUAAAGCACAGCACUUAGGUUCAUGAAUAUUCCUGUAAAAUUAAUGUCAUAAUCAGUCAAUAAACUGCUCAAAGAAAAUCAGACGGCGCAGCAGGACAACAAACCUAUACACAGACAGAAACAUCUUUAAUGAAAAGGAGAGCAACAACGAGGACGAGACAGACCUCUGACCUGAAGAUGUGGAGUGAGGACUUUACAUCCACUCAUCAUGGGCAUAAAUGUCA
rnacentral:lncRNA from 1 species